rnacentral:tRNA from 1 species
GGGUAGCUCAGAUGUGCGAGCGCAUCGCUGAUAGCGAUGAGGUCAGGGGUUCGAUCCCCCUAGGCUCCA